GAUGAACGCUGGCGGCGUGCCUAAUACAUGCAAGUCGAGCGAACGGACGAGAAGCUUGCUUCUCUGAUGUUAGCGGCGGACGGGUGAGUAACACGUGGAUAACCUACCUAUAAGACUGGGAUAACUUCGGGAAACCGGAGCUAAUACCGGAUGAUAUUUUGAACCGCAUGGUUCAAAAGUGAAAGACGGUCUUGCUGUCACUUAUAGAUGGAUCCGCGCUGCAUUAGCUAGUUGGUAAGGUAACGGCUUACCAAGGCAACGAUGCAUAGCCGACCUGAGAGGGUGAUCGGCCAGACUGGACCGGAGACGCGGUCCAGACUCCUACGGGAGGCGGCGGUAGGGAAUCUUCCGCAAUGGGCGAAAGCCUGACGGAGCAACGCCGCGUGAGUGAUGAAGGUCUUCGGAUCGUAAAACUCUGUUAUUAGGGAAGAACAUAUGUGUAAGUAACUGUGCACAUCUUGACGGUACCUAAUCAGAAAGCCACGGCUAACUACGUG
rnacentral:rRNA from 1 species